rnacentral:rRNA from 1 species
UACAGAGACCUCAAGCGUUAUCCGGUUUCAUUGGGCGUAAAGCGUUCCGAUCGGUGGUUUAGUGUGUUUGUGGUGAAAGACCGGGGCUCAACCUCGUGUUUGCCACGAAAACUACUAAACUAGAAGAGUAAAGAGGUAGCUGGAACUCUGCAAGUACCGGUGAAAUGGGUUGAUAUGCAGGGGAACACCAAAAGCGAAAGCAGGCUACUGGGUACUAUUUGACACUGCUAGGACGAAAGCGUGGGGAGAGAAUGGG